UAGGGAAUAUUGGUAAUCUGGGAAACCGGGAACCAGCAACGCCGCGUGCGCGAUGAAGGCCUUCGGGUUGUAAAGCGCUUUUUGAGAGGAUGAGGAAGGACAGUACUCUUAGAAUAAGCCUCGGCUAACUACGUGCCAGCAGCCGCGGUAAAACGUAGGAGGCGAGCGUUAUCCGGAUUUACUGGGCGUAAAGCGUGUGUAGGCGGUUUGAUAAGUUGGAUGUGAAAGCUCCUGGCUUAACUGGGAGAGGUCGUUCAAAACUGUCGGACUAGAGGAUGAGAGAGGGAGGUGGAAUUCCGAGUGUAGUGGUGGAAUGCGUAGAUAUUCGGAGGAACACCAGUGGCGAAAGCGGCCUCCUGGCUCAUAUCUGACGCUCAGACGCGAAAGCUAGGGUAGCAAACG
rnacentral:rRNA from 1 species